CGGGGAUUUCAGAGGAAGUAGGCAUGUGAGGAGGACGCCGUUGUUUAACAGCAGAGAAAGCUUCUCAUUUUUGCUUUCUAUAGCUUUUGACCACAUGGACAGAAGAGGAGGCGGCUCUUCAACGGGCUUUGAGGGAGACAGAGAGGGACCAUGGGCGAGUGAGGUGUUCCCACUAUAUCACCAGGUUGUCUCUUCCGUGCCCACACUCCACAUCUACACACAUCCUCAGUCCUUUACAACUGAACUGUUCUCCCUCAGCAUGUAAUAAAUGAGGAAAUGGAUACAGCUGCAGCAACCGAGAGAGAGAGAGGGAGAGGCGGAGAAACGAGAGAGAGAAGAAAAGAAAAGGAACGAUGGGGAGAGAUGAAGAGAGAGAACAUAUAAAGAGACGAGAUGACUGGGAGGAGGAGAGGGCCUUGAACAUCACAUGGUAGCACCGAGCGAUUAAAGCAGAUCCUCUGACAAGCGCAAGCAAGUCGGCUUAAAGCAGACUACAGAAGCAGAGCGGUUGGAUUGUGAGAAAUCACUCGAAAUGAUGUUUGUUUACUUUGCAAAAUCACAGGAGAAAAAACGCAGAGGGGAAGAGUUGCUAAGUGAUGGAGCUGCGUAUGUGCCCGAUGCUUCUCCAUUUGCAAAUUUCUUCCAAAGAGAAUGCAGCUAGGACUGUACAAAUGCUGACUAAUGUUAAAACAUCUACUCUGUGUAAUGAAAAAGAGGGGGGAAACUGCUGCAAUAAUGGGAACAUGUUAAAAAAAUGGAACCGUGCUUUGUGUACGUUUGAAUCUGCUGUGUGAAGCACACAGUACAAAGCAGAGGAGAUGUAUGGAAUCACUUAGCCCACAAUGUUUUACCCUCUGUUUUUUCUGUCAAGGAAAUCUUUCUGCACCCACAGAAAAAAGGAAACAUGUCCAUUUUUUUCAUUGUCUGUUUUGUAUUCUGUUCAGAAUAAAAGCAAUUUGAGAGUCGUUCCAGCUCUUGAAUUAUUUAGAUACAACUUAGUGCAAACGCUACCAACAGAAAUUGAUGAUAUCCAUCUCAGUCAGGCAGUAAAGAAUGAGGUGCACCUGUAGCUGCCAUGGCCUUUAGCUUCAGAGAUUCCACUGACUGCCAUGACUUUCUGUUAGGUGGCAUUUUGUUUUGUGACUUUCUUUUCUUGUGUUUCUGUCCUUAGAAAUAGGACAUUUGUGCAUCACAGACCCAUUUUAUAACUAUUGUGUUACUACUUAUUUGAGCCUCUCUGUCAGUCUGCUGGUCCAACAAAUGGGUGAAGUGUUGCCACAUUUGUGAAUAUUCCUUUUGGGUGCUGUAAAGCCCUGAGAACUGUAUUGUAUUUAUGUACUGCGAGCAGCAGCCUAAAUGCAGAAAAUCUGUUUGACUGUGAGACUCUAUGGUUUCAAUUUUCCUGAAACGACUGGUAAUUUCAGUAUUUCAGUCUCAGUGAAGUACACAAGCUGCUACUGGGAGUAGUUUCAGACAAAUGUGGAUGAGGACAGAGAUGAGUGCAGAUUAGUAAGCAAUUGAGAUGGGGCUUAUUGUUUUAUUUAAAAAGUUCUAUACCGUGCAAGCAGAAAACAGCAAAAACUACAAACUGUAAGCAAACAAUAAGGUUAUAACUCCAAUUAUCAUCCAGUAUAUGGGUUCCUUAUUUGUGUUACCCUGAAUUGUUAAAGGAUUUCAAAAACAAACACUGAUUUUUAUUUUUCUUUAAACUGAACACUCAGUUUUAGUACAUUGGUUGUUGGGGAAAAACACAUGUUAAAGAAACAAUUGUUGUUUUAUUUUUGCUUAGUUUUUUGCAGUCUCCUUGGCAUGACACUUAGUGACAUCCCUAACGAUUCUUGUUAAAUAAAUGUAACUAAAGCAUAUUUAUCAUUUAUGCUUUAUUUUUUAUAAUUGGCUAGAGUUAAUUAGUCAUCUAUUACGGGCUGUUUCCUAGGGGCAUAAAUCCAACAAGGCACAUCUGUUAAUAGAAAAAAAAAAAACAUUUCAGGAGGCUAUCAUAUGAAAAAAGCUAAUUUUUGAAGAAUCGAAAUUAUACAUGUAAAUCCAGGUUUGUUCAUUCAUAGUUUGAAUGUAUCCGUAUUAUCCUAUGAUGCAGAAAAUAAAGAAAAUCCUUUGAA